UACGGAGGGGGCUAGCGUUGUUCGGAAUUACUGGGCGUAAAGCGCACGUAGGCGGCUUUGUAAGUUAGAGGUGAAAGCCCGGGGCUCAACUCCGGAAUUGCCUUUAAGACUGCAUCGCUAGAAUUGUGGAGAGGUAAGUGGAAUUCCGAGUGUAGAGGUGAAAUUCGUAGAUAUUCGGAAGAACACCAGUGGCGAAGGCGACUUACUGGCCCGAUACUGACGCUGAGGCACGAAAGCGUGGGGAGCAAACAGG
rnacentral:rRNA from 1 species